GGUUAAGCGACUAAGCGUACACGGUGGAUGCCCUGGCAGUCAGAGGCGAUGAAGGACGUGCUAAUCUGCGAUAAGCGUCGGUAAGGUGAUAUGAACCGUUAUAACCGGCGAUUUCCGAAUGGGGAAACCCAGUGUGUUUCGACACACUAUCAUUAACUGAAUCCAUAGGUUAAUGAGGCGAACCGGGGGAACUGAAACAUCUAAGUACCCCGAGGAAAAGAAAUCAACCGAGAUUCCCCCAGUAGCGGCGAGCGAACGGGGAGCAGCCCAGAGCCUGAAUCAGUGUGUGUGUUAGUGGAAGCGUCUGGAAAGGCGCGCGAUACAGGGUGACAGCCCCGUACACAAAAAUGCACAUGCUGUGAGCUCGAUGAGUAGGGCGGGACACGUGGUAUCCUGUCUGAAUAUGGGGGGACCAUCCUCCAAGGCUAAAUACUCCUGACUGACCGAUAGUGAACCAGUACCGUGAGGGAAAGGCGAAAAGAACCCCGGCGAGGGGAGUGAAAAAGAACCUGAAACCGUGUACGUACAAGCAGUGGGAGCACGCUUCGGCGUGUGACUGCGUACCUUUUGUAUAAUGGGUCAGCGACUUAUAUUCUGUAGCAAGGUUAACCGAAUAGGGGAGCCGAAGGGAAACCGAGUCUUAACUGGGCGUUAAGUUGCAGGGUAUAGACCCGAAACCCGGUGAUCUAGCCAUGGGCAGGUUGAAGGUUGGGUAACACUAACUGGAGGACCGAACCGACUAAUGUUGAAAAAUUAGCGGAUGACUUGUGGCUGGGGGUGAAAGGCCAAUCAAACCGGGAGAUAGCUGGUUCUCCCCGAAAGCUAUUUAGGUAGCGCCUCGUGAAUUCAUCUCCGGGGGUAGAGCACUGUUUCGGCAAGGGGGUCAUCCCGACUUACCAACCCGAUGCAAACUGCGAAUACCGGAGAAUGUUAUCACGGGAGACACACGGCGGGUGCUAACGUCCGUCGUGAAGAGGGAAACAACCCAGACCGCCAGCUAAGGUCCCAAAGUCAUGGUUAAGUGGGAAACGAUGUGGGAAGGCCCAGACAGCCAGGAUGUUGGCUUAGAAGCAGCCAUCAUUUAAAGAAAGCGUAAUAGCUCACUGGUCGAGUCGGCCUGCGCGGAAGAUGUAACGGGGCUAAACCAUGCACCGAAGCUGCGGCAGCGACGCUUAUGCGUUGUUGGGUAGGGGAGCGUUCUGUAAGCCUGUGAAGGUGUGCUGUGAGGCAUGCUGGAGGUAUCAGAAGUGCGAAUGCUGACAUAAGUAACGAUAAAGCGGGUGAAAAGCCCGCUCGCCGGAAGACCAAGGGUUCCUGUCCAACGUUAAUCGGGGCAGGGUGAGUCGACCCCUAAGGCGAGGCCGAAAGGCGUAGUCGAUGGGAAACAGGUUAAUAUUCCUGUACUUGGUGUUACUGCGAAGGGGGGACGGAGAAGGCUAUGUUGGCCGGGCGACGGUUGUCCCGGUUUAAGCGUGUAGGCUGGUUUUCCAGGCAAAUCCGGAAAAUCAAGGCUGAGGCGUGAUGACGAGGCACUACGGUGCUGAAGCAACAAAUGCCCUGCUUCCAGGAAAAGCCUCUAAGCAUCAGGUAACAUCAAAUCGUACCCCAAACCGACACAGGUGGUCAGGUAGAGAAUACCAAGGCGCUUGAGAGAACUCGGGUGAAGGAACUAGGCAAAAUGGUGCCGUAACUUCGGGAGAAGGCACGCUGAUAUGUAGGUGAAGCGACUUGCUCGUGGAGCUGAAAUCAGUCGAAGAUACCAGCUGGCUGCAACUGUUUAUUAAAAACACAGCACUGUGCAAACACGAAAGUGGACGUAUACGGUGUGACGCCUGCCCGGUGCCGGAAGGUUAAUUGAUGGGGUCAGCGCAAGCGAAGCUCUUGAUCGAAGCCCCGGUAAACGGCGGCCGUAACUAUAACGGUCCUAAGGUAGCGAAAUUCCUUGUCGGGUAAGUUCCGACCUGCACGAAUGGCGUAAUGAUGGCCAGGCUGUCUCCACCCGAGACUCAGUGAAAUUGAACUCGCUGUGAAGAUGCAGUGUACCCGCGGCAAGACGGAAAGACCCCGUGAACCUUUACUAUAGCUUGACACUGAACAUUGAGCCUUGAUGUGUAGGAUAGGUGGGAGGCUUUGAAGUGUGGACGCCAGUCUGCAUGGAGCCGACCUUGAAAUACCACCCUUUAAUGUUUGAUGUUCUAACGUUGACCCGUAAUCCGGGUUGCGGACAGUGUCUGGUGGGUAGUUUGACUGGGGCGGUCUCCUCCUAAAGAGUAACGGAGGAGCACGAAGGUUGGCUAAUCCUGGUCGGACAUCAGGAGGUUAGUGCAAUGGCAUAAGCCAGCUUGACUGCGAGCGUGACGGCGCGAGCAGGUGCGAAAGCAGGUCAUAGUGAUCCGGUGGUUCUGAAUGGAAGGGCCAUCGCUCAACGGAUAAAAGGUACUCCGGGGAUAACAGGCUGAUACCGCCCAAGAGUUCAUAUCGACGGCGGUGUUUGGCACCUCGAUGUCGGCUCAUCACAUCCUGGGGCUGAAGUAGGUCCCAAGGGUAUGGCUGUUCGCCAUUUAAAGUGGUACGCGAGCUGGGUUUAGAACGUCGUGAGACAGUUCGGUCCCUAUCUGCCGUGGGCGCUGGAGAACUGAGGGGGGCUGCUCCUAGUACGAGAGGACCGGAGUGGACGCAUCACUGGUGUUCGGGUUGUCAUGCCAAUGGCACUGCCCGGUAGCUAAAUGCGGAAGAGAUAAGUGCUGAAAGCAUCUAAGCACGAAACUUGCCCCGAGAUGAGUUCUCCCUGACUCCUUGAGAGUCCUGAAGGAACGUUGAAGACGACGACGUUGAUAGGCCGGGUGUGUAAGCGCAGCGAUGCGUUGAGCUAACCGGUACUAAUGAACCGUGAGGCUUAACCUU
rnacentral:rRNA from 1 species